rfam:Ciona savignyi cont_17356, whole genome shotgun sequence.
GGUCCUGUGGCCCAAUGGAUAAGGCGCCUGACUACGAAUCAGUAGAUUCCAGGUUCGAGUCCUGGCAGGAUCG